rnacentral:lncRNA from 1 species
AAACGCUACAGCUGCAGAAGCCCAUGCUGUUACCUUCUCUCCUCAUCCGUUUUUAGUAUUUGUAAUAUUUCUGGCCCUCCCACAUCUUUGGCAAUGUUUUCUAACGUCCCUCUUCUCUUUCUUCAGUGUUUUUCAUAAGAACGGUCCUUUCAUUUCUGUUUUAUGACGUAUAGUCUUCUGAUAAUAACACGAUAAGCAUUGUGGUGGUUCUGAACAUACAACGAAAUUAGAAAAAGUGGAAUAAUAAAUAAUUCACUUGUUUUCCUUCAGCUUCAUAAGGUUUCUACUAAUCUGUUUUCCUUAUGGGCCAAACUCUUAGAGAAAUUUGAUCAGGUGCCUUUAAAAAUAUAGAAACACGUUCAGAGAACUUCAAAGAAUACAAAAAAUAAUGUAUUUCUUUUCCAAAAUAACUUCACUUUCAUCAUAAAACAUGAAAAAUGGUGAAAGAAUCAUUUCCAAAAGAAAACCUAAACUUGUCUGAUUUCAGGACACACUUUUAUCUUUAAAAAAUUUUUCCUUACUGUUGUGAAAGGAAAAGAAAAGCUCAGGACCCCAAAUUCACUAUGCCAAAAGGGAAGAG